AUUGAACGCUGGCGACAUGCUUUACACAUGCAAGUCGAACGGUAACAGGCCUUCGGGUGCUGACGAGUGGCGAACGGGUGAGUAAUGCAUCGGAACGUACCCAGAGGUGGGGGAUAACGCAGCGAAAGCUGUGCUAAUACCGCAUGUGAUCUGAGGAUGAAAGCGGGGGACCGAGCAGCAAUGUUUGGCCUCGCGCCUUUGGAGCGGCCGAUGUCGGAUUAGCUAGUUGGUGGGUUAAAGGCCUACCAAGGCGACGAUCCGUAGCUGGUCUGAGAGGACGACCAGCCACACUGGGACUGAGACACGGCCCAGACUCCUACGGGAGGCAGCAGUGGGGAAUUUUGGACAAUGGGCGCAAGCCUGAUCCAGCAAUGCCGCGUGCGGGAAGAAGGCCUUCGGGUUGUAAACCGCUUUUGGCAGGAACGAAACGGUGUCCGCUAAUACCGGGCGCUAAUGACGGUACCUGCAGAAUAAGCACCGGCUAACUACGUG
rnacentral:rRNA from 1 species